AGUGAACGCUGGCGGUAGGCCUAACACAUGCAAGUCGAACGGCAGCACAGGAGAGCUUGCUCUCUGGGUGGCGAGUGGCGGACGGGUGAGGAAUACAUCGGAAUCUACUUUUUCGUGGGGGAUAACGUAGGGAAACUUACGCUAAUACCGCAUACGACCUACGGGUGAAAGCAGGGGACCUUCGGGCCUUGCGCGAUUGAAUGAGCCGAUGUCGGAUUAGCUAGUUGGCGGGGUAAAGGCCCACCAAGGCGACGAUCCGUAGCUGGUCUGAGAGGAUGAUCAGCCACACUGGAACUGAGACACGGUCCAGACUCCUACGGGAGGCAGCGGUGGGGAAUAUUGGACAAUGGGCGCAAGCCUGAUCCAGACAUACCGCGUGGGUGAAGAAGGCCUUCGGGUUGUAAAGCCCUUUUGUUGGGAAAGAAAUCCAGCUGGCUAAUACCCGGUUGGGAUGACGGUACCCAAAGAAUAAGCACCGGCUAACUUCGUGCCAGCAGCCGCAGUAA
rnacentral:rRNA from 1 species